rnacentral:rRNA from 1 species
GACGAACGCUGGCGGCGUGCUUAACACAUGCAAGUCGAACGGAAAGGCCCUGCUUUUGUGGGUUGCUCGAUUGGCGCACGGGUGAGUAACACGCGAGUAACCUGCCCUUGACUUUGGGAUAACUUCAGGAAACUGGGGCUAAUACCGGAUAGGAGCUCCUGCUGCAUGGUGGUGGUUGGAAAGUUUCGGCGGUUGGGGAUGGACUCGCGGCUUAUCCGCUUGUUGGUGGGGUAGUGGCUGACCAAGGCUUUGACGGAUAGCCGGCCUGAGAGGGUGACCGGCGACAUUGGGACUGAGAUACGGCCCAGACGCGUACGGUCGGCAGCAGUGGGGAAUAUGGCACAAUGGGCGGAAGCCUGAGGCAGCAACCCCGCGUGCGUGAUGACCGCCUUCGGGUGAUAAACCGAUUUCGCAUGUGACGAAGCGUGAGUGACGGUAAUGGGUAAAGAAGCACCGGCUAACUACGUG